AAUAGAUACCCGGGUAGUCCACGCCGUAAACGAUGAGUGCUAAGUGUUAGAGGGUUUCCGCCCUUUAGUGCUGCAGCUAACGCAUUAAGCACUCCGCCUGGGGAGUACGGCCGCAAGGCUGAAACUCAAAGGAAUUGACGAGGGCCCGCACAAGCGGUGGAGCAUGUGGUUUAAUUCGAAGCAACGCGAAGAACCUUACCAGGUCUUGACAUCCUCUGCCAACCCUAGAGAUAGGGCGUUCCCCUUCGGGGGACAGAGUGACAGGUGGUGCAUGGUUGUCGUCAGCUCGUGUCGUGAGAUGUUGGGUUAAGUCCCGCAACGAGCGCAACCCUUGAUCUUAGUUGCCAGCAUUCAGUUGGGCACUCUAAGGUGACUGCCGGUGACAAACCGGAGGAAGGUGGGGAUGACGUCAAAUCAUCAUGCCCCUUAUGACCUGGGCUACACACGUGCUACAAUGGAUGGUACAAAGAGCUGCGAACCCGCGAGGGUAAGCCAAUCUCAUAAAGCCAUUCUCAGUUCGGAUUGUAGG
rnacentral:rRNA from 1 species